GACGUAGGGCGCGAGCGUGUCCGGAUUUAUUGGGCGUAAAGAGCUCGUAGGCGGCUUGUCGCGUCGAAUGUGAAAUCUCAGGGCUCAACUCUGACAUUGCAUUCGAUACGGGCAGGCUAGAGUUCGGUAGGGGAGACUGGAAUUCCUGGUGUAGCGGUGAAAUGCGCAGAUAUCAGGAGGAACACCGGUGGCGAAGGCGGAUCUCUGGGCCUUACCUGACGCUCAGGUGCGAAAGCUAGGGGAGCGAACAGG
rnacentral:rRNA from 1 species